GAUCCGGUGGCUUAGUGGUUAGAGCGUCCGCCUCUGAUUGGUAAAGUCCUGGGUUCGAACCCCGGCCGAGUCA